rnacentral:rRNA from 1 species
CAGCCGCCGCGGUAAUACGUAGGAGGCGAGCGUUAUCCGGAUUUACUGGGCGUAAAGCGCGUGCAGGCGGUGCGGUAAGUUGGAUGUGAAAGCUCCUGGCUCAACUGGGAGAGGUCGUUCAAUACUGCCGUGCUAGAGGAUGGGAGAGGGAGGUGGAAUUCCGGGUGUAGUGGUGAAAUGCGUAGAUAUCCGGAGGAACACCAGUGGCGAAGGCGGCCUCCUGGCCCAUUUCUGACGCUCAGACGCGAAAGCUAGGGUAGCAAACGGGAUUAGAGACCCCGGUAGUCCUAGCUGUAAACGAUGUAGACUUGGUGUCGGUGGUGUAAAAAUCAUCGGUGUCGAAGCAAACGCGAUAAGUCUACCGCCUGGGGACUACGGCCGCAAGGCUAAAACUCAAAAGAAUUGACGGGGACCCGCACAAGCAGCGGAGCGUGUGGUUUAAUUCGAUGCUACGCGAAAAACCUUACCAGGGUUUGACAUGCUAGUGGUAGUGAUCUGAAAAGUGAACGACCCUUCGGGGAGCUAGCACAGGUGCUGCAUGGCUGUCGUCAGCUCGUGUCGUGAGAUGUUCGGUUAAGUCCGCCAACGAGCGCAACCCUUGCUGUGUGUUAUACGUGUCACACGGGACUGCCGGUGUCAAGCCGGAGGAAGGUGGGGAUGACGUCAAGUCAGCAUGGCCUUUAUGUCCUGGGCUACACACACGCUACAAUGGGCAGUACAAUUGGUCGCGAAACCGCGAGGUGGAGCCAAUCCGUAAAAGCUGUCCUCAGUUCAGAUUGCAGGCUGCAACUCGCCUGCAUGAAGGUGGAGUUGCUAGUAACCGCAGGUCAGCAUUACUGCGGUGAAUACGUUCCCGGGUCUUGUACACACCGCCCGUCACGUCAUGGAAGCUGGCAACGCCUGAAGCCGGUAUCCCAACCCGCAAGGGAGGGAGCCGUCGAAGGCGGGGUUGGUAACUGGGACGAAGUCGUAACAAGGUAACCGUA